rnacentral:rRNA from 1 species
UCAACCUGGUUGAUCCUGCCAGUAGUCAUAUGCUUGUCUUAAAGAUUAACCCAUGCAUGUGUAAGUAUAGUAUUCUACAGCGAAACUGCGAAUGGCUCAUUAAAACAGUUAUAGUUUAUUUGAUAAUUGAAAUCUACAUGGAUAACCGUAGUAAUUCUAGAGCUAAUACAUGCUGUAAAACCUGACUUUAUGGA